AGAAAAUGUGGUGCAUAUACACCAUGGAAUACUAUGUAGCCAUAAAAAUGGAAGAAGAUCAUGUCCUUUGCAGGAACAUGGAUGUAGCUGGAAGCCAUUCUUCUCACCAAACUAAUGCAGAAGCAUAAAACUAAAUACCACAUGUUCUCACAAGUGGGAGCUGAGUAAUCAGAACACAUGGACACAUGGCAGGCAACAAGACA